CAGCAGCCACGGUAAUACGUAGGUGGCAAGCGUUGUCCGGAAUUAUUGGGCGUAAAGGGCUCGCAGGCGGUUUCUUAAGUCUGAUGUGAAAGCCCCCGGCUCAACCGGGGAGGGUCAUUGGAAACUGGGAAACUUGAGUGCAGAAGAGGAGAGUGGAAUUCCACGUGUAGCGGUGAAAUGCGUAGAGAUGUGGAGGAACACCAGUGGCGAAGGCGACUCACUGGUCUGUAACUGACGCUGAGGAGCGAAAGCGUGGGGAGCGAACAGGAUUAGAUACCCCCGUAGUCCCUGUCUCUUAUAC
rnacentral:rRNA from 1 species